GAUGAACGCUGGCGGCGUGCCUAAUACAUGCAAGUCGAGCGAACAGACGAGGAGCUUGCUCCUCUGACGUUAGCGGCGGACGGGUGAGUAACACGUGGAUAACCUACCUAUAAGACUGGGAUAACUUCGGGAAACCGGAGCUAAUACCGGAUAACAUGUUGAACCGCAUGGUUCAACAGUGAAAGACGGUUUUGCUGUCACUUAUAGAUGGAUCCGCGCCGCAUUAGCUAGUUGGUAAGGUAACGGCUUACCAAGGCAACGAUGCGUAGCCGACCUGAGAGGGGGGUCCGCAACACGAGAAGGGAGACACGGCCCAGACGCGUAGGGGGGGAGAGGGUGGGGAAUCUCCCGAAAGGGGCGAAAGCCUGACGGACCAGCGCCGGGGGAGUAAAAAGGGUCUUGGAAUCGAAAACCUUUUUUAUAAGGAAAAAAAAAAUGUAUAAUAAACUGGGCACUUCUGGAGGUUACAUAAUCAAAAACCAACGCCAAACACCGUC
rnacentral:rRNA from 1 species